AUUGAACGCUGGCGGCAUGCCUUACACAUGCAAGUCGAACGGCAGCGGGGACUUCGGUCCGCCGGCGAGUGGCGAACGGGUGAGUAAUGCAUCGAAACGUACCCGGAAGUGGGGGAUAACGUAGCGAAAGUUACGCUAAUACCGCAUAUUCUGUGAGCAGGAAAGAGGGGGAUCUUCGGACCUCUUGCUUUCGGAGCGGCCGAUGUCAGAUUAGCUAGUUGGUGAGGUAAAGGCUCACCAAGGCGACGAGCAGUAGCGGGUCUGAGCGGAUGAGCCUCCACACUGGAACUGAGACACGGUCCAGACUCCUACGGGAGGCAGCAGUGGGGAAUUUUGGACAAUGGGCGAAAGCCUGAUCCAGCCAUGCCGCGUGAGUGAAGAAGGCCUUCGGGUUGUAAAGCUCUUUCGGCCGGGAAGAAAUCGCAUGGAUUAAUACUCUGUGCGGAUGACGGUACCGGCAUAAGAAGCACCGGCUAACUACGUGCCAGCAGCCGCGGUAAGAC
rnacentral:rRNA from 1 species